rnacentral:SRP_RNA from 1 species
AGCCGGGUCCUGUGCAACAAAGACUCACAAACCCCGUCAGGUCCGGGAGGAAGCAGCGGUAGUGAAUCUCUUUGUGUGCCAUAGGGGUGCCUGGCUAUC